AAAAAAUGAAAAGGUUGGAGUUACGUAUUUCACAAAAACAAAAACGAUGAUGCUGCAAAUACUUCUGCCGAAUGCUGAUAUCAUGUAUUACAGCACAACUGCACAGGGUGUUGAAAUAUUAUGAUAACAUUGAUAAGGGCCAACAAGGCCUCUCCUAAUGCAUAUCAGGGAUCAUAUGCACCUGGCACAUGCAAAACAUAUUCACCAAAAACAGAAGAUACAUUUUCAGUGAUAGCUAUUACAAUAGAGGGCAUUCCAUUACAUGUCACCACGUGCUACAUAAAUACUUUUAAAUCAUUUGCCCGGAACACCACAAACAAAAAUCAGGAAGGCAUCCUCAGAUCAAAUAUUUUAUCCAUUCAUCUAUUUGUUUUGAAAAUUUUGCAGCAGAAAGAUCCAAACCUUACUGACCCAAAUCCCAACCCACCAGUACCACCUGGAGAAACUUCAAGCUUUAACAAGCAUAUUCACCAACUUCAUUUUCCUCUUCUCAAGUCCAUGACAAUUGAGAUGUAGGUACAAGGAGACGUUUAUUAGAGUGAUGGACCAGAACAUUUUGGGAACCAGAUCUCAAUACAUUUUAACUAAAUGUGAAAAUCUAGUCAUCUUCCUCAAGAAGAGAAAGAUCAUUAAUAAGUGACAAAAAAACAUGAUGUUUAAGUAAGCCAACC
rnacentral:misc_RNA from 1 species